AUUAAAUGAGAGUUUGAUCCUGGCUCAGGACGAACGCUGGCGGCGUGCCUAAUACAUGCAAGUAGAACGCUGAAGACUUUAGCUUGCUAAAGUUG
rnacentral:rRNA from 1 species